CUCAGUGGGAUCGGCGUCCGUAUCAGCUCCUGCCUCUGCAAGUCAAGGGGUAGGCUGCUCGAUCGCAUCUCCAAGAGUCCCUCGCCGCCACAACGCCUGCAGUCGCGGACGGCCGUACCUGUCGACGGGAGCGGCUGAGCAGGGGACAUCCCGCCGAUCCGAUGGCGGAAGGGCGAGAUAAUGGGCAAGUCUACCUCGGGUUGAAUCUGGACACCAGCGAGCUCCUUGCAGUAAACCAGGUGCUGGACUUUUGCGUUUUGUUUAUCAGGUUUGCACUGUGUGAAUCACGCCGGUCCGGCUCUCACCCCUCUCUGACCUCCAUGCCGCAGUUGGGCGCUCCUUCGAAACAAGAUUAUCGUGUCCAGGUAUACAGUCCGCCACAAAACUCUCCCGUGCAGUGGGCGUACAGAAGGAACGUGGAGAGAUGGUGGGCUCCAAGCCCAUGGUGAUUUUAUUGUGCUUGCAGCUUGAGAUGUACUUGGUCCAAAUGAAAAUCAUCAUUUUGAAGGGUUAGUAGAUGAUGCUCAAUGCCAUAAACCUGCACCGAUCGUCACUCAUGUCAUCUCAUAGAAGUCUAUUGAAUUUUAAUUAACUUUUGCUGUAUGCUAUCCAUGAUGUAAGUGGAGAUAGGAAGUUCCAAAAAAAUCCUGCACAAUGGGGAUGUGCACCAAUGAUUUGACAGGAUAAGAUGUUUGUGAAGUAUGAAAAAUUAUGACCUAAGCAAAACUUUUAUUUACAUAUAUUCAUACAUACUUUGAAUUUUAGAAACAUGUAUUGCACGUAUAUAGUUAGAUCUUAAUUUUGUUUAUUAUUCAAAAUGCUUGUACCCACUAGAUUUCAUUUUUUUACCUUGAAGGAGUAUUAUAUUACUAUUAUUUGGAAUCCACCUUGAUCCUCCACUUCUAUUUUUCCUAGGCAACUUCGCAUGGAAUUAGGAUCACUUAAUAAGGUUCUGGUUUCUUUUUCAAAUUCACUUGCUUUAUGCAUGAACCUAUUAUAGAUUUGUUGGUGUUGAUUUGCAGUAAGAGCAAAUGUAAUAUUGUUCUCAUCAAUUUCUUUCAUAGCAUGUGUAAUGCGUUAUAACAUCAGUUUCAUUGGAUUGGAAAAGGUGAUAAACAUGCAACCAUUCUUACUCGAUGAUAUGAAUACUUCAGGAGCAAUGGUGGCAUUUGUUUGCACAUUAGUAUUCCAUUAUGUAGUAAAGGAUAUGGUCUGGUAGUCAUUCUUUAUCGUUAUAGUUAUUGUCAAAUGGUGGAAUAUUGCUGCCUAGCAGCUCUGGUUCAUGUGUGUGUGAAAAAUAAUGUAAAAUCAUUUUUGUUGCUGUAGAAUCUCAUGAGUCGUAUGAAAAAGAAGGCUAGGAUAUUUAUAUUUUUUAAUUGUUCAGCUGCUUGUGUUACAGAUCUGGGCAUACCUUUUGUUUGAGAUAAAUUUGGGCAUAAAUUGUCACAAAUAAAUGGGUGGCGUUGGGUCAAGGUUCAGGAACCCAGGGGCAUCAUGCUUCUUUUGAGCCACAUGGGGAGAAUUACAUCCAUGUAUUAGAAAAACUAGGUGCCCGCUUAAACAGAAAAAAUACAACUCUUGCUGACCGGGAGCUUCAUGGUAGUGGCUAGAAUUUAAUCAGGGAUCCAUGUACAGGUUGAUUGUUAUGAAACCAUGCGAUGGAAUCUUGAUGUUGACAAUGUCCAGAAAUCUGAUUCGUCAGAGACAAAAUCCAACCUUAAUUGCCCCAUUCAGAUCAUGAAAUAUUGGGGUUAACAGUUUGCGAUGUAAGAUGGGUUGAGAUCUGCUAUACUUUAACUUUCUUUUGUUCAAAUGUUUUCUUUUGUUUUGAAACCUUAAUGUUUUC